GAACGCUGGCGGUGCGCCUUAUGCAUGCAAGUCGAGCGAAGCUUUUCAGUAGUUUACUACAGAAAAUGACUGAGCGGCGAACGGGUGAGUAACGCGUGAGCAACCUACCUUAGUUACUGGGAUAGCCCGAGGAAACUCGGAUUAAUACCGGAUAUUCUUAUUUAAUCACAUGAUUUUUUAAGGAAAGGUCAGCCGAACUAAGAUGGGCUCGCGUUCUAUCAGCUAGUUGGUAGGGUAAUGGCCUACCAAGGCUACGACGGAUAGCUGGUCUGAGAGGACGAUCAGCCACACUGGGACUGAGACACGGCCCAGACUCCUACGGGAGGCUGCAGCAGGGAAUAUUGCGCAAUGAGCGAAAGCUUGACGCAGCGACACCGCGUGUGGGAUGACGGAUCUAGGUUUGUAAACCACUUUCAGGAGGGAAGAAAAUGACGGUACCUCCACAAGAAGCCCCGGCCAACUACG
rnacentral:rRNA from 1 species